AAGGGAUUCUGAGGAGGAAUGACCCCCCACACUGGUACUGAGACACCGACCAGACUCCUACCGGAGGCAGCAGUACGAUAUGUCCAUGGGCGAGCCUGACCAGCCAUGCCGCGUGCAGCAGACGCCCUACCGGGUUGUAAACUGCUUUACAGGGGAAUAAACCUCGGUACGUGUACCGAGCUGAAUGUACUCUGAGAAUAAGGAUCGGCUAACCCCGUGCCAGCAGCCGCGGUAAUACGGAGGAUCCAAGCGUUAUCCGGAUUUAUUGGGUUUAAAGGGUGCGUAGGUGGCCUGUUAAGUCAGGGGUGAAAGACGGUAGCUCAACUAUCGCAGUGCCCUUGAUACUGAUGGGCUUGAAUAAACUAGAGGUAGGCGGAAUGUGACAAGUAGCGGUGAAAUGCAUAGAUAUGUCACAGAACACCAAUUGCGAAGGCAGCUUACUAUGGUUUUAUUGACACUGAGGCACGAAAGCGUGGGGAUCAAACAGGAUUAGAUACCCUGGUAGUCCACGCCCUAAACGAUGAAUACUCGAUGUUGGCGAUAUACGGUCAGCGUCUAAGCGAAAGCGUUAAGUAUUCCACCUGGGGAGUACGCCCGCAAGGGUGAAACUCAAAGGAAUUGACGGGGGCCCGCACAAGCGGAGGAGCAUGUGGUUUAAUUCGAUGAUACGCGAGGAACCUUACCCGGGCUUGAAAGUUAGUGAAUGAUCCAGAGACGGAUCAGUCCUUCGGGACACGAAACUAGGUGCUGCAUGGCUGUCGUCAGCUCGUGCCGUGAGGUGUUGGGUUAAGUCCCGCAACGAGCGCAACCCCUAUGUUUAGUUGCCAGCACAUAAUGGUGGGGACUCUAAACAGACUGCCUAUGCAAAUAGAGAGGAAGGAGGGGACGACGUCAAGUCAUCAUGGCCCUUACGUCCGGGGCUACACACGUGCUACAAUGGUUGAUACAGAGGGCAGCUACCUGGCAACAGGAUGCCAAUCUCACAAAGUCAAUCACAGUUCGGAUCGGGGUCUGCAACUCGACCCCGUGAAGUUGGAUUCGCUAGUAAUCGCAGAUCAGCAAUGCUGCGGUGAAUACGUUCCCGGGCCUUGUACACACCGCCCGUGCAAGCCAUGGAAGCUGGAAGUGCCUGAAGUGCGUAACCGCAAGGAGCGUCCUAGGGUAAAGUACUGAUUGCCU
rnacentral:rRNA from 1 species